GGGUUCUCUCCCUCAUUUGUUUUCAGCAUCCAAAGAAAAAAAAAAGUUUCUUCUCUUCACCCGUUUGUUUCUCCUCCGCCAAGGGCGGUCGUCUUUUGUCCGUUCGCAACUAUUUCAGCACCAACAUAAUACUCCUUUACUUUUACGGUUUAGAUCUUCAAGGAACCGACCCUGAGUCUUCUGAAACGAAGGCCAAAGUUUCGAACCUCCUCUCGCGGAUCUCCGUUUUGCACCGUCGGAUCGUCAAAGGUCGUGGAGUGGACAUGUCGCUCCCCUUGGC
rnacentral:lncRNA from 1 species